AGUGAACGCUGGCGGUAGGCCUAACACAUGCAAGUCGAACGGCAGCACAGUAAGAGCUUGCUCUUACGGGUGGCGAGGGGCGGACGGGUGCGGAAUACAUCGGAAUCUACUUUUUCGUGGGGGCUAACGUAGGGAAACUUACGCUAAUACCGCAUACGACCUAAGGGUGAAAGCAGGGGAUCUUCGGACCUUGCGCGAGUGAAUGAGCCGAUGUCGGAUUAGCUAGUUGGCGGGGUAAAGGCCCACCAAGGCGACGAUCCGUAGCGGGGCUGAGAGGAUGGUUCGCCCCCCUGGGACUGAGACACGGUCCCGACUCCUUCGGGGGGCAGCAGGGGGGAAUUUUUGGCCAUGGGCGCAAGCCUUAUCCCGCCAUUCCGCGUUGGUUAAGAAGGCCUUCGGGUUGUUAAGCCCUUUUGUUGGGGAAGAAAAGCAGCUGGGUAAUACCCCGCUUUUCUGGCGGUACCCAAAGAAUAAGCCCCGGCUAACUUCGUUC
rnacentral:rRNA from 1 species